rfam:Triticum urartu cultivar G1812 contig408545, whole genome shotgun sequence.
CAAAUACUCCCUCCGUCCCAUAUUAGUUGUCGCAGAAGCGGAUGUAUCUAGAUGUAUCUUAGUGCUAGAUACAUCUGUUUGAGUGACAACUAAUAUGUCACGGAGGGAGUAUAAG